CGUAGAGGCAAGCGUUAUCCGGAUUCACUGGGCGUAAAGCGCGUGCAGGUGGUGCGGUAAGUUAGGCGUGAAAUCUCCCGGCUCAACUGGGAGAGGUCGUCUAAUACUACCGUACUUGAGAGCAGAAGAGGAAGAUGGAAUUCCCGGUGUAGUGGUGAAAUGCGUAGAUAUCGGGAGGAACACCAGUGGCGAAGGCGAUCUUCUGGUCUGUUUCUGACACUCAGACGCGACAGCUAGGGUAGUAAACGGGAUUAGAGACCCGGUAAUCCUAGCCGUAAACGAUGUGAACUUGGCGUUGGUGGGUUAAACUCCAUCAGUGCCGAAGCAAACGCGAUAAGUUCACCGCCUGGGGACUACGGCCGCAAGGUUA
rnacentral:rRNA from 1 species